CUUACACAGUAUAAAGGGAAUGCAUUGGCCCACACAGUGGAAAAAAAUAUCUAGUAGGAAUAGGAAGGACUUCAGGCAAUUGUCUCAGGCAUCCUCCAGGCAUCAUGAAGGAGGGUGAGCGAGGGUGCGAGGUGGAAAGGUCCAGGCCGCGGCUGUGACUCCCGCGGGUGAACCACAGCUCCACAGCCCCAAAUCCAAAGAUGCAACCCUGCCCCCAGGCCAUCCAAGUGCGAACAUUACCAGGUGCCAGCAGGGAAAGGACUCCGCUGCCUGACGCCUCUCCCACCUGAGAGCGCAGAGUUCACCCUUUGGUGACCUCCACCGUGGCUGCAGACUUCAGGUGGUCCUCACGCAUUCACAGAACUGUCUGCUUAG
rnacentral:lncRNA from 1 species